rnacentral:rRNA from 1 species
AUUGAACGCUGGCGGCAUGCCUUACACAUGCAAGUCGAACGGCAGCACGGGGGCAACCCUGGUGGCGAGUGGCGAACGGGUGAGUAAUACAUCGGAACGUGUCCUGUAGUGGGGGAUAGCCCGGCGAAAGCCGGAUUAAUACCGCAUACGCUCUACGGAGGAAAGGGGGGGAUCUUAGGACCUCCCGCUACAGGGGCGGCCGAUGGCAGAUUAGCUAGUUGGUGGGGUAAAGGCCUACCAAGGCGACGAUCUGUAGCUGGUCUGAGAGGACGACCAGCCACACUGGGACUGAGACACGGCCCAGACGU